rnacentral:rRNA from 1 species
CCUACGGGAGGCUGCAGUGAGGAAUAUUGGUCAAUGGACGAGAGUCUGAACCAGCCAAGUCGCGUGAAGGAUGAAUGCCCUAUGGGUUGUAAACUUCUUUUAUAGAGGAAUAAAACGAGGCACGUGUGCCUUUUUGCAUGUACUUUAUGAAUAAAGAUCGGCUAACUCCGUGCCAGCAGCCGCGGUAAUACGGAGGAUCCGAGCGUUAUCCGGAUUUAUUGGGUUUAAAGGGAGCGUAGAUGGGUUGUUAAGUCAGUGGUGAAAGUUUGCGGCUCAACCGUACACUUGCAAUUGAUACUGGCAGGAUGGAGUACAGUUGAGGGAGGCGGAAUUCGGGGGGUAGCGGUGAAAUGAUUAGAUAUCACGAAGAACCCCGAUUGCGAAGGCAGCUUACUAAACUGUGACUGACAUUGAUGCUCGAAAGUGUGGGUAUCAAACAGGAUUAGAUACCCGAGUAGUC